CUGCUAAUGAUGGGUUGGUUGUCGUGGUAACAGGCACACAAAGAUGGCGACCUGCAGAAGCUGCUGGGUGAAGGCAGUAAGGCGUACGACUAUGAUCUCAUCGUCAUUGGCGGUGGUUCUGGCGGUCUGGCCUGCUCAAAGGAAGCAGCCGCCUUGGGGAAGAAGGUCAUGGUUCUGGAUUAUGUUGUUCCCACACCGAAGGGCACAACCUGGGGUCUAGGAGGCACAUGUGUGAACGUGGGCUGUAUUCCUAAGAAACUGAUGCAUCAAACGGCUCUGCUGGGUACCGCCAUGGAGGACGCACGCAAGUUCGGCUGGG